rnacentral:tRNA from 6 species
GGGGCCGUAGCUCAGUUGGGAGAGCGCUUGAAUGGCAUUCAAGAGGUCGUCGGUUCGAUCCCGAUCGGCUCCACCA